CAGCAGCCACGGGAAUACGAAGGGGGCUAGCGUUGUUCGGAUUUACUGGGCGUAAAGGGCGCGUAGGCGGGCUGAUAAGUCAGGGGUGAAAUCCCAAGGCUCAACCUUGGAACUGCCUUUGAUACUGUUUGUCUUGAGUUCGAGAGAGGUAAGUGGAACUGCGAGUGUAGAGGUGAAAUUCGUAGAUAUUCGCAAGAACACCAGUGGCGAAGGCGGCUUACUGGCUCGAAACUGACGCUGAGGCGCGAAAGCGUGGGGAGCAAACAGGAUUAGAUACCCCGGUAGUCCCUGUCUCUUAUAC
rnacentral:rRNA from 1 species